UACAGAGGGCUCAAGCGUUGUUCGGAAUCACUGGGCUUAAAGGGCGCGUAGGCGGUUGAUCAAGUCUGGGGUGAAAUCUUUCGGCUUAACCGGAAAAGUGCCUUGGAUACUGGUCAGCUGGAGGGAGGUAGGGGCAGUUGGAACUUCCAGUGGAGCGGUGAAAUGCGUUGAUAUUGGAAGGAACGCCGGUGGCGAAAGCGAGCUGCUGGACCUCUUCUGACGCUGAUGCGCGAAAGCUAGGGGAGCAAACGGG
rnacentral:rRNA from 1 species